rfam:Oryza sativa (indica cultivar-group) chromosome 1, whole genome shotgun sequence.
AAAAACUUAAUUUUUAGGUUUCCGUGUCCGAUGUUUGACCAUCCGUCUUAUAUAAAAUUUUUGUAUAAUUAGUAUUUUCAUUAUUGUUAAAUGAUAAAACAUGAAUAAUACUUUAUACAUGGCUUACUUUUUAAAUUUUUUUAUAAUUUUUUAAAAUAAGACGAACAAUCAAACGUUAGACACGGAAAUUCAGGAAUUAAG